GACGAACGCUGGCGGCGUGCCUAAUACAUGCAAGUCGAGCGAAGCGGCGGAUGGGUGAGUAACGCGUGGGUAACCUGCCCUUAAGUCUGGGAUACCAUUUGGAAACAGAUGCUAAUACCGGAUACUAAAGGAUGGACCUGCGAUGCAUUAGCUAGUUGGUAAGGUAACGGCUUACCAAGGCGAUGAUGCAUAGCCGUGUUGAGGGGUGGAUCUGCCAAAGUGGGACGUGGAUACGGCGCAAACUCCUACGGGAGGCAGCAGUAGGGAACCUACCACAAUGGACGAAAGUCUGAUGGGGCAACGCCGCGUGAGUGAAGAAGGUUUUCGGAUCGUAAAGCCCUGUUGUUGGUGAAUCGGUAAUCAACCGGAAAGUCACGGCUAACUACGGGCCAGCAGCCGCGGUAAUUC
rnacentral:rRNA from 1 species